GUUUGGGCAGUUUGGACCUGGUUUAGAUUUGCAGGUAACCUGCUGCAGCUCUCCACAGAGGCAACUUAUGGUUUUACAGCAGGAGCCAUUGCUCUCCUGGUCAUUAAUGCUUCCCUCAUGUUGAUUGCUGCCUACAGGAAUCUGGUCUUGCUGUUUCUAACAACAGUCAUGGAGGUUGUUCUGGUCUGCUUCCUGCUCUCCACCCUGCAGCGACUGC